CCUACGGGGGCAGCAGUGGGGAAUAUUGCACAAUGGGGGAAACCCUGAUGCAGCAACGCCGCGUGAAGGAAGACGGUUUUCGGAUUGUAAAAUUUUGGUCUUAGUGAAGAAUAAUGACGGUAGAUAAGGAGCAAGGCAAGGCUAACCACGGGCCAGCAGCCGCGGUAAUAAGUAGGUGGCAAGCGUUGGCCGGAAUUACCGGGUGUAAAGGGAGGGCAGGCGGGAAGCCAAGUCAGCUGUGAAAACUACGGGCUUAACUUGUAGACUGCAGUUGAAAAUGGUUUUCUUGAGUGAAGGAGAGGUUGGCGGAAUUCCGAGUGUAGCGGUGAAAUGCGUAGAUAUUCGGAGGAACACCGGUGGCGAAGGCGGCCAACUGGGCUUUAACUGACGCUGAGGCUCGAAAGUGUGGGGAGCAAACAGGAUUAGAUACCCUUGUAGUC
rnacentral:rRNA from 1 species